rnacentral:rRNA from 1 species
GACGAACCGAGCGAACGUUGUUCGGAAUCACUGGGCUUAAAGGGCGCGUAGGCGGGUGCUCAAGUCUGUGGUGAAAUCCUCCGGCUCAACCGGAGAACUGCCAUGGAUACUGGGUGUCUCGAGGGUGGUAGGGGUAUGCGGAACUAUCGGUGGAGCGGUGAAAUGCGUUGAUAUCGAUAGGAACUCCGGUGGCGAAGGCGGCAUACUGGACCACUUCUGACGCUGAGGCGCGAAAGCCAGGGGGAGCAAACGGGG